rnacentral:tRNA from 1 species
CGUUCUAUGGCCGACUGGUUAAGGCAUCACCGAUUACAGGAGAAGAUGCGGGUUCGAGUCCCGCUGGAACGG